UUUCCGUAGGUGAACCUGCGGAAGGAUCAUUACAGAGUGAGGGCCCUCUGAGUCCAACCUCCCCCCCAUGUUUAUGGUACCUUGUUGCUUCGGUGUGCCCGCCGCACGGCCGCCCGGGGGCUUCUGCCCCCGGGUCCGCGCGCCCCGGAGUCACCAUUGAACUCUGUCUGAAGACUGCAGGCUGAGCAUAAACUAAAUAAGUUAAAACUUUCAACAACGGAUCUCUUGGUUCCG
rnacentral:misc_RNA from 1 species